ensembl:snoRNA SNORA74 Small nucleolar RNA SNORA74
CCCAGCUGUAGGCAACUGCCUAGGUUACACUGUACAUAGGCAGUUGUUACACUGCUGGGAGAAAAGCAGCUAAUGGCUGGUGGGCAUUCUGGGCCUGGCAAAUGCCAAAUUU